AGAUGUGAAAAAAAAUAAUUUGGACAAUAAUUGACAGAUUUUGAAAUUUUUCAAAAAUCUGUCUUUUUUCCUGACCCCGAACCUUAUAUGAAAACUAAGUACUCCAAUACUAUGGAGUGGUGAAGCGUGUAAUGAGGCCCCCCCUGACUAUGGACGGCGUUGAACAUGCCAUCGCCGUCUUCACCGCUUUACCACAGCUCUUUCCCUCACAGUAAACAAAGGCACGCAGCCAAAUCGAGGCAAUCUUCCAUGUUUUAACACCCUCAGAGAACCCGGACACUUUCCUGCGCACUCAAAGCAUAUCCAGUUGUCCUGUUAGGAGAAGAAAACUGCCUUCUCGCCGUUGGAGCAACAACAUUGUGCACAUUUCCGCGCGAGAAAUUUCAUGAAACGAUCCUGUACCUCAUGGGCUGCUACUACAUUUUCCACCUACGUUACCCAAAGACUAUCUGCACACUACUCUCUGUGAUACAGACUGAAGUUGUCGGAGACACACUCCAUGAUGGCGAUGUCACCCCUUCCUACAAGAAGGCCAUUGGAGAGUGGAAGGCCUUGAAUGAACAGGUUUCACAUGUCCAACUUCCUCUUUCUUUCUCUCCCUCUUUCCCCUUAUUCUCUCCCUCUCUUACUUUUUCUCUUUCAUCUCUCUCUCUCCCCCUCUUUCUCUCACAUCCCUCUUUCUGUCACCCACUCCCCCCAACCUCUCUCUCUUUGUCUCUCAGCCCCCUCUCAACUCACUUUCCCUCUUUCUCUCUGUCCACUCUCCCUCUUUCUCUAUGUUUCACCUGUUCACUCUCUCUAACUUUCUAUCUUUCUGUCCCAUCUCUUUCCCUCCCCUUUCUCUCUUCCUCCUUCAUCUCUAUCCUUUUAUUUCUCUGCCUUCUCUUCUCCCUCAUCUUUCUCCAUCUCUCCCCCUCUAUCUUUCUCUCUCCCUCCCUUUCUCUCUCAUUCCUCCUCCCCCAGCCUAAUUGAGCAUCAUGGAGAUUUUUAUUUUAUAUUUGUUGUUUGCAACAUGUUUGCAGCCCAAGCAUAAAAACCUGUUGUGUUGGUUUGUGACUCGUAAUUCAGCAAUAAACACUUUUGAACUGCAUUUAUGGUAGCCCAUAUUGUCUUAUUUCAAGAUAGCUUUACUUAUCGUGUUCUCAAUACAAGAAAAAAAAAAUCUCAGUGUAAGCAUCAUAAGUUAUUUCUACAGGCUAAUAUGAAGCAAAACACACUUAUUUACAGUUUUUUGAUUUAAGACUUAUUGUCUACUAUAAGCAAAUAUUCCUUCCUUCCAGUUAUUGAAUAUGAGCUAUAUGGCCU